rnacentral:rRNA from 1 species
UACAGAGGGUGCAAACGUUGUUCGGAAUUACUGGGCGUAAAGCGUGUGUAGGCGGUCCACUAAGUCGGGUGUGAAAGCUCGGGGCUCAACCCCGAGUCGGCCGUGCGAACUGAGUCGCUUGAGCACUGUAGAGGCAGGCGGAAUUCCGGGUGUAGCGGUGGAAUGCGCAGAUAUCAGGAGGAACACCGGUGGCGAAGGCGGGUCUCUGGGCCGAUACUGACGCUGAGGAGCGAAAGCGUGGGGAGCGAACAGG